rnacentral:lncRNA from 1 species
AUCUGUAAGAUGAAGGUGACCCAGGGAAUAAGUUGUUUUAUUAUUACUUUUUAUAGGGGUAAUGGCCAGCUGAGGUGAUUCAGAGCCAGUUUGGAGGACGCCAUAACAAGUGACUGUCUGAGGUUUGUGUUCUCGCAGGAGGGGAUGGAUGGCGCUAGCACAGCGGCCGAGAGAGUUGCACUUGCCUUUCCGAAUGGAAGCUGUUCCUAUUCUUAGUGCCUUUGGAUGGAUACUGAAAAGAGGAGACCCAUUGGCCAUCAGCUGCUUCCGCAAAAUCAGUUCACCCACCCGUACACUGUCUGCGGGCACUGGAUUUGAGCGAGCACAUUUAGGUACGUUAUUUUCACUGACCACCGUAGCCUAUUUCGUACCUGCCCUGUGGCACAAAUUCCCCUAGUUCCGGAUGACAGCUUCAUACUGACAUUAGGUCUCUAGAAAUGCUUAAUAUUUCCUGGUACUUCCUGAUGAGUUUGAGGUAGAGGAAGCUUUUGUAAGAAAGGAACUAUUUGAAUUGCAAAGUCUUGCAUUUAAAACCAACACUGCUUUUCUUUUUGCUCUAGCAAAUGCACAGAUGAGUACCAUUCCGUGACACUGUAAUAAGCUUCCAGUUUCUGCAUCAAGCGGACUACAACUGAUAGUGACAAGUUUGAAGCUCUACAGCAGGAUUUAAUACUGAAGGGAUGGAAGAGGAAAGGACUGUCCCAAGGGAAGGAAAAUGGUUUCAGUAAAGCCCAUAAAUACAAAUCUUAAGUACUCUUUUUAGUAGUGCUGGUCUAUUAUUACAGCCUAAAGGAAGUUCAUUUAAUUAAUAAUUGAGCUCCUCAUCUUCAAGUUGCUCUCAGUAUGAACCUCAGCAUUAGAAAUGGCAUUUUUUUUUUAAUGAAGCAGUUGCAUGUCAGAAAAGACAGCACCAUAAAAAAAAAGCCAAAACUUUUGCCAGAAACAUGUGCCUGUUUUCUAAAGUUUCUUCAGGUCCAGGAAGGAAUUGCUGAUUAAAGCCAGGAGAAAUCCACAUGAAUAGCCCACAUCAAAUAGCCACCACAAUUAUCCUCAGCUUUAAUGAGAUGGUGCAGAGGCGAUAAGCGUAUUUCAGACAAAUUCCCUUGGCAUCGAGCUACUUACUGCUCGGGGUGGCCUUUUGCAGUCUCUCCAUUUAUAUCCACUCUGAUAUGAAUAAAAAAUUAGGCUGGGGUCCUUCCUCCA